GGAUCCAUGGUGCAAUGGCGGUGCAUUUGACUCCAAAUCAGACGAUUGUGUGUUUGAUUUAUGUUGGGUUCA
rnacentral:tRNA from 1 species